rnacentral:rRNA from 1 species
UACGUAGGGGGCUAGCGUUGUCCGGAUUUAUUGGGCGUAAAGAGCUUGUAGGCGGUUUGUCGCGUCUGCUGUGAAAUUUCGGGGCUCAACCCCGAACUUGCAGUGGGUACGGGCAGACUAGAGUGUGGUAGGGGAGACUGGAAUUCCUGGUGUAGCGGUGAAAUGCGCAGAUAUCAGGAGGAACACCGGUGGCGAAGGCGGGUCUCUGGGCCGUAACUGACGCUGAGGAGCGAAAGCAUGGGGAGCGAACAGG